ensembl:lncRNA
GAAAAGGCCACACUGGCUCUGUCCAGCUCACUUGCUCGGGGGACUUUCAGAGAGGUCAUCUCCCCGGGGGAGGUUGCGGUGGGGUNUCGGGAGCGGCCCAUUCCUGCUUUCCUGGGCAUCGUGGGCACAAAAGUGGUCUUCCUGGUGGAACUGUUUAGAGCACGGGAGUAGGAGGAUGCCUCGGUGGACCCCCACAGACCGUGGCUGGCCGGAUUAAAGAUGGAGUGGCCCCUUAACCCAUGAAGAUUUGGCUCAGCAGCCGUGAGUUUAAGGGCAAUACUCCCAGGUGAGUAAGCAUUGCUUGAGGCUUAACAUGGGGAUCUUUUACAGCGCCGAGGGCAUCCCCAGAUGCAGCACCUGGCUUCCGGUCCCGAGACUGCGUGGGUUGGGAUGGCAAUGUGGACCAAGGCACACAACUGCAGGCAAGAGCAAGCAAAAGGAACGCCCACUAGCCGUGCUCCAUAUCGUGCCAGAANGGCCGUCGAGAGCAAUGCGGGUGGCAGUGUGGCACUUGGAUGCGUAUCUAUGCCAUCGCAGCCCUGCAAAAGGGACCCAUGCAGUCAGUGAGCAAAACUGGAACUCCCUUGGCCCGUGUGUCCUGCCACACAGUGCAGCAGGAAGCAGAUGGGAUGUGGAUCUACAGCCUCCCCCUGGAUUCUGGGCUUGGCCACCUGCGUAAGUAGCACAUGGGACAACCUCUCCGUCAUCCUGGUGAUUCCACAAAGGUAUUUGUUGAUGUCACUGCUGAUGUCAUAGACCCACUUGUUCCCACCUGCCUGUCCAGCAGAGGACACCUGGAAAAGCCUGGGUAAGUAGGGGCCCCAUGCAGCCACCCAAGAAACCCAGAAGCCUCUUAAUGGGGCCGAAGCACCUUCAGCUGCUCUUAUCAGUGUAGCCUGCGCUGCGCCCGUGCUUGGGACUUCAGGUCCACAUUUGAAACCUUCUGAGCUACAGCUCAGUCAUAUGCCAGGAACUGGCUCUGCACCUUUGCUUUUAAACAUUAGCCGCAAGGUGUAGGACUGCGAGGAGCUGAGUUAGGAGUUUUCUGUGCUGUUCCGUUUGAGCAUCUUGGCAGAAGCAUGCUUUUUGUCCUAAACAUUUGAGAAGAGGGGCGGCCAGUUAAUUUCCAGGCCCGUUCCCCACAGAAAGGCCAGGCACUUGUCAUUUCGGGCCCUAGAUUUUUAAAAAUGAGAGAGAGAAAGAGUUAGUUCGUUCCUGGCCUCUAAUCUGAAUUAAGUAGAGAUCAUCAUGGGAACUGGGUUGAGCUCUCUUUGCGGAUCAAGGAUCUUCUCUUCAACAAGGUAAGCUGUAGCCACCAUCUUGGACAACCAAAGUGAUGAACCUCAAGGUAAAUUCUGAUGUUGGCUGUUAAAACUUGCUUAAAUCCUCUCCUUUCUAGGUCUCUCUUCAGCCUGGGCUGUGACUUGUCUUUGUGCGUUUGGUUGCCAAUGGAGAUCGUUGCCUAACGUCACCUCUCCCUUUCCUUUGCAGCUUCACCAAAGCCACCGAAGAGGAGAAGAACCAUGGCGACCAUUAUGACUCAGUAAUAGGUCUGUGACUCGAAGAUAGGUUCAACCUGUGCCAGGACUAUACCAGCUCAGACUGAAUGUGGGGUCUGAGAUGCAUAAAAGACCUCCCCACCCCCCAACUAACUUACCUCCUCUGGGGAGGUCAAAAAG